UACAGAGGUCUCAAGCGUUGUUCGGAUUCAUUGGGCGUAAAGGGUGCGUAGGCGGUGAGGUAAGUCAGGUGUGAAAUCCCGGGGCUCAACUCCGGAACUGCAUUUGAUACUGCCUUGCUAGAGUACUGGAGAGGAGAUUGGAAUUUACGGUGUAGCAGUGAAAUGCGUAGAUAUCGUAAGGAAGACCAGUGGCGAAGGCGGGUCUCUGGACAGUUCCUGACGCUGAGGCACGAAGGUCAGGGGAGCAAACGGG
rnacentral:rRNA from 1 species